UACGGGGGGGGCAAGCGUUGUUCGGAAUUACUGGGCGUAAAGGGCUCGUAGGUGGCCAACUAAGUCAGACGUGAAAUCCCUCGGCUUAACCGGGGAACUGCGUCUGAUACUGGAUGGCUUGAGUUCGGGAGAGGGAUGCGGAAUUCCAGGUGUAGCGGUGAAAUGCGUAGAUAUCUGGAGGAACACCGGUGGCGAAGGCGGCAUCCUGGACCGGCAUUGACGCUGAGGCGCGAAAGCCAGGGGAGCAAAGCGGG
rnacentral:rRNA from 1 species